rnacentral:lncRNA from 1 species
UGAGGUUGCAGCCUCCUGAGAAGGUUAGCACUGGCACCAUGGGGGACAGCUGUUGCCUUGGAGACGCCACUGCCAUCCCAGCUGUGCCUGCCACCUCCGUAUGCUCCAGUCGUGGCAGUUUCCAACAUGGUAUCCAUUUGCCUAGUUCCUGUCAGAGCAGAACAUGGCAGCUGGUUACAUGCCAAGAAAACUGUCAGCCAUAUGGCAGUGCCCCAAGUGGCUGUGAACCUGCUUCUUGCCAACCUACCUGCCUUCCAGCAACUUCUUGUGUGGGUUUUGUUUGCCAACCCAUUUGCUCCUACACAGCCUGCUAUGAAACUGGCACUGGUCAGUCUCCUGGUCCAGUUAGCUCAUGCCAGCCCUCCUGUUUGGAAUCCACUGGCAGUUCGGUAAAGUGCUGUGAACCCGGCCCCUGCCAACAAAGCUCCUGCCAGGAAUGUGUCUACACAUCUGAGUCGUGCCAGGCAGCUUGUGACCAAUCAGUCUGCUGUGAUGCUGGGUCCUGUCAGCCAGCCUCCCCUGAAGUCACUUCCUGUCCUGAAACUUCUUGCCUACCAACUGUCUGUGCCGCUAAUCUGUGCCAGCCAACUUGCUGCCAUGGGGGUUCAUGUCAGCCCAUUCAUGGUGAAGAUCAGCCCUGCAAAUCAUUUUGUUACCAACCGAUCUGCUACAUUUUGAAGCCUUGCCAAACGGUUCCCUGUAUACCGGUUCCCUGCCAGCUAUCUACUUGUGUGUUCCGCUCUUGCAGUCCUGCAUGCUGUGUGACCUUCCCUUGCCAGACACUUCACUACCAAUCUGCACUAUGCACAUCCUUCAUCUGCCAGCCAGCUGCUAACAGACAGCCUCCUUGUUCUGUAAACAACUCUUGUGAACCAGAUUGCUGUGGCACCGUGCUUUCUGGCCAACCAACUGGUGGUGAACUCACUUUCUGCAAUCAAAGUGGCUGCCAAUCCCCUUCCUGCCAGCCAGCUUGCUGUGUGACGGGUUUCAGCAAAUCAGCCAGUGGUGGCUCCAGUUGCUUCCGACCAAAUACCCCAAGUGUCUGCAAAGCUGGCACCUACUUGCCGACUUCCUUCCAACCCAGUUAUGAGUCCAGCUUCUGCAAGGCAACAUUUCAUUGAGGGAGCACCUCCUCUAAAGUCUGCUGCUUUCUACAAAUGCAUAGCCGUGGUGCCUGACUCUGGCUGAGCACAAACACUGCUGGCUUGCUAACUUUUCUGAGUCCAGUCCCACAUUUCCUCCAGGUAUUGGUGAGGAAAUUUAUCCUGAGGUCCUUUCUCAUAGAGGAUAACCUUUCAGCCAGCAUGGCCCAUGCUGUAGCUUGCCUUUCCUGGUGUUAUCAUUUCAUUUCACUUCAGCAAAGCCUUUCCUCCCAGUUCUUUUCCCCCGCUUUGGAUGCUGCCAAGUCUUUAAGGAGACUCUUUUGCUGACAACUGCUAAUAAAAAUGUGUCUGGU